rnacentral:lncRNA from 1 species
AUUUAGUGAUUUAAAAACAAAUUAAGUAUCUAAAACGUUCAUUUGAAGUGAAAAUUUGACCAUUUGAAUAUAAUAAAAAAUUUAAUAAAAUAAACUAUUUUCUUGUAAAAUAAUUUUUUAUAAAGCUAUCGGUAAAUAAUUCUUAUAGUGUAAAAUUUAAUUAUAUUCAUAUCUACUAUAAAGCAAAUAACCAAAGCAUAAAAUUACUUUUACAGUGACACGUGGGCCCACAUCUAACCAAAACGUAUCAAAAGUUGAAAACCUACAGCUUUUGCCGAUUCAAGUCCAAAUGAAGGUCCUUGUCAAAGUCAACUAACUAUGGAAUUCUCUGAGCCUGAAAUGUGAGGAAAUGAGGGUGGUGAGAUUAUGAAAUCCUAAUGAGUAAACAGACACCAUCUAAACUAUCUAAAGACGAGUAAAUGGAGACAAAUUAAAAUAAGUCAUCAUAUUGUAAUUUCAUUACCUUUUAACUCAUUUCAACCAAAUAAACAAAUAGGCUUAUGAUUUCCUGGAAAGCUUGGCUCAUGCCAAAAAUCAUUCUCAUACUCAAUUAUUAGGGAUACCUUGAUCGAGGGUUAUCCCAACCGAGUCCGGCAAUGCUGUUAAAUGUCUUUACAUCUGAAAUUUUAGCCAUGCCUUGGCGUUGACUGAGUCUCACUCUCACGCGGUAAUCCACGUGAAGUGUACUCAAAUCUUUACCUCAGGAGAUACUUCAUCCAACAUCUCCCUCCGGAGAUAAAUAUAUAAUUGGGUUACCCUGCCCCUCUCAUAGGCAGUCCACGAAAACCCCCACCACUGCAGUGACUAUGGAUUAUUUUAUCUACCACCUGAUUUUUAAAAUAUUUUUCUGCAUGACAUGGCAAUUUAUCGCAACCUAGCCUAUCAAGGCUGAAUACACAAUAUAAAUAAUUCUAACACCAAAAAUCAGUUUAGCCAUUCAUGCUCAUAUAUUGUCAUAAGCCAUUCAAUUUAAAAUCAUAAAUUUACAACACAAGCAGAUAGUCUCCAAGUACAAUCUCUAUAGUUUUACUAGUGUAAUUUACUCACCACCUAUCCACAAUGUACAAUACAUAAUUCACCACAUCAAUGCUUGACCAUUAUAAAAUCAAUUCAGGCUCGGUGUAUAUGCAUGAUAUGAUAUGCAACUUAUCCGACUACCGCUUAAAUACGGUGCUGACCUAAUUCGGCCUAUUACCCGAUUAAAUGACAAUUGUGUCCGAUUUGGCUCCAAAUUGCUCCAUUUCAUUUCUAAUAUUUCAAUUCACUAAAUACAAUUCCAAUAAUCUAAAAUUCAGCCUAACAACCCUCACAAUUCUUCUUGAAAAUUUUGGCCAUUGUGGUGCACUAUCACUAAAAAUUUUCCCAUUCCAUUUUCUCACCAUAAAUCAUCAUUUCAUCAAUUUUUCAACCAAUUCACUUGAUCACAAAAUCAAUUCAUUACUUCUACACUUCACAUAGGGUUCGACCAUUGAAGGUUAAUGGGAAAAAUGGAUUCUUUUCUUGUUGUUUUGUUUCUAAACAUGCUUAACUAACUAAAAACACUAACAUAACUUAGAAUCAAAUGAAUCUAACAUCAUUCUCUCUCCAUACCCAUUUCAAUCAGCCAUGAAUUCAUCAUGAAAACAUGUAAUUUAACGAUGGAAAAUGAGGCAAAAUGCGUGGAAAAGGUAGAUCACAAGUCAAAAUCAAGAAAUUUUACCUUUUGUCACUUGUUUCCUUGAAUUUUCACUAAUUUUCCCUUGAAUUUCUCCACCUAGGGUUUUUGUUUUUCUUUUCUCCCUUUGUUCUUCUUUGCUCUUGGUUUGGCC